UCGACCUCUGUAGCCGGUCUAUCGAUUUUGAGCGCGAUUGUCGGUGUUGGUGUCUUUGGGCAAUUGAAGAGUUUCUGUCAAAUCCCCAGAUAGGCGAUUAUGUUUGGGCAAUUAAGUGCCGGCAAUUGGUAUUGUUGAUGUAACGGUUGAGAGUUCUUCAGUGCGGAGCAACAUAGAUAAUGUUGAGCGUAAUUUACUUGAUGCGAAUGAGAGUACUAUCGCUAGCUCAAGUUUGGUUAAAAAUGAAGAAUUUUGGGAUAUUGGUGACGCUUCGUUCACCUGUUCACAUUGUGGUGCAUGCUUUUGGUUUGAGGAACGUCUGGGCAAACCAUAUAAGGCCAAAAAUCCUAAAUAUUCGCAUUGUUGUAUGAAUGGGAAUAUUUAGAUUCCUAAUAUGAUAUCUCCUCCUGAAUUAUUACAUCAAUUGAUGUUUUCAAACGAUCUGAAAAGUACCCACUAUUUGAAAAA